CCCGCUCAGAAACUUAAAGGAAUGACGGGGGCCCGCACAAGCGGUGGAGCAUGUGGUUUAAUUCGAUGAUACGCGAGGAACCUUACCUGGGCUCAAAUGUAUGUUGACGUAUUCUGAAAGGGAUACUUCUUCGGACAAUAUACAAGGUGCUGCAUGGUUGUCGUCAGCUCGUGCCGUGAGGUGUCGGGUUAAGUCCCCAUAACGAGCGCAACCCCUAUCAUUAGUUGCCAUCAGGUCAAGCUGGGGACUCUAAUGAAACUGCCUACGCAAGUAGUGAGGAAGGUGGGGAUGACGUCAAAUCAGCACGGCCCUUACGUCCAGGGCUACACACGUGCUACAAUGGCCGGCACAACGGGAAGCGAGUUCGCGAGGACGAGCGGAUCCCUCAAAGCCGGUCGCAGUUCGGAUUGAAGUCUGCAACUCGACUUCAUGAAGCUGGAAUCGCUAGUAAUCGCGCAUCAGCCAUGGCGCGGUGAAUACGUUCCCGGGCCUU
rnacentral:rRNA from 1 species